ACCAUCCUAAGGUAGCGAAAUUCCUUGUCGGGUAAGUUCCGACCUGCACGAAUGGCGUAACGACUUCCCCACUGUCUCGACCAGGAGCUCGGCGAAAUUGCAGUACGAGUAAAGAUGCUCGUUAAGCGCAGAAGGACGAAAAGACCCCGGGACCUUUACUAUACCUUGGUAUUGGCAUUCGGUGUGGAUUGUGUAGCAUAGGCGGGAGGCCGAGAGGCGCGGUCGCCAGAUCGCGCGGAGCCGUAAGGUGAAAUACCGCUCUGUUCGCAUUGGAUGUCUAACCUCGAACAGUCAUCCUGUUCAGGGACAGUGCCUGGCGGGUAGUUUAACUGGGGCGGUUGCCUCCCAAAGAGUAACGGAGGCGCCCAAAGGUCCGCUCAGCCCGGUUGGCAAUCGGGUGGCGAGUGCAAGUGCACAAGCGGGCUUGACUGCGAGGACGACGGUCCGAGCAGGGACGAAAGUCGGGACUAGUGAUCCGGUGCCGGUGUACGGACGCGGCAUCGCUCAACGGAUAAAAGGUACCCCGGGGAUAACAGGCUGAUCAUUCCCAAGAGUCCAUAUCGACGGGAUGGUUUGGCACCUCGAUGUCGGCUCGUCGCAUCCUGGGGCUGGAGCAGGUCCCAAGGGUUCGGCUGUUCGCCGAUUAAAGCGGCACGCGAGCUGGGUUCAGAACGUCGUGAGACAGUUUGGUCUCUAUCCUCUGCGCUCGUUGGAAUGCUGAGGAGGCCUGCCCAUAGUACGAGAGGACCUGGGUGGACGAACCUCUGGUAUGCCGGUUGUCACGCCAGUGGCACGGCCGGUUGGCUACGUUCGGAAGGGAUAACCGCUGAAAGCAUCUAAGCGGGAAGCCUGCUCCAAGAUAAGCAUUCCGUGGAACCUUCGAGUUCCUGUAGUCCCCAUGCAGAACACGUGGUCGAUAGGCCGGACGUGGAAGCCCCGCGAGGGGUGGAGCCGACCGGUACUAACGGACGAAAGGCAACACUGA
rnacentral:rRNA from 1 species